GAAAGGAAGAUUAAUCCAGGAUGGGAUCAUGAGUUCACAUGUCCGCAUGAUUAAAGGUAUUUUCCGGUAGACGAUGGGGAUGCGUUCCAUUAGAUAGUAGGCGGGGUAACGGCCCACCUAGUCAACGAUGGAUAGGGGUUCUGAGAGGAAGGUCCCCCACAUUGGAACUGAGACACGGUCCAAACUCCUACGGGAGGCAGCAGUGAGGAAUAUUGGUCAAUGGGCGAUGGCCUGAACCAGCCAAGUAGCGUGAAGGAUGACUGCCCUAUGGGUUGUAAACUUCUUUUAUAAAGGAAUAAAGUCGGGUAUGCAUACCCGUUUGCAUGUACUUUAUGAAUAAGGAUCGGCUAACUCCGUGCCAGCAGCCGCGGUAAUACGGAGGAUCCGAGCGUUAUCCGGAUUUAUUGGGUUUAAAGGGAGCGUAGAUGGAUGUUUAAGUCAGUUGUGAAAGUUUGCGGCUCAACCGUAAAAUUGCAGUUGAUACUGGAUGUCUUGAGUGCAGUUGAGGCAGGCGGAAUUCGUGGUGUAGCGGUGAAAUGCUUAGAUAUCACGAAGAACUCCGAUUGCGAAGGCAGCCUGCUAAGCUGCAACUGACAUUGAGGCUCGAAAGUGUGGGUAUCAAACAGGAUUAGAUACCCUGGUAGUCCACACGGUAAACGAUGAAUACUCGCUGUUUGCGAUAUACGGCAAGCG
rnacentral:rRNA from 1 species